UACGUAGGGGGCUAGCGUUGUCCGGAAUCAUUGGGCGUAAAGAGCGCGUAGGCGGCCAGAUAAGUCCGGUGUGAAAGUCACAGGCUCAACCUGUGAAUGCCGCUGGAAACUGUCUGGCUUGAGUCCGGGAGGGGCGAGUGGAAUUCCUGGUGUAGCGGUGAAAUGCGCAGAUAUCAGGAAGAACACCCGUGGCGAAGGCGGUUCUCUGGGACGGUACUGACGCUGAGACGCGAAAGCGUGGGGAGCGAACAGG
rnacentral:rRNA from 1 species